GAUGCGUUUCAGAAGGCGGGGCAUAGAGGAGAAACAAUAAUGUACAGUAUGUGGAAAAUAAUGUUUUUUAACCUUAAACUGCAUUAACACAUUUCAUUACACCAAAUACACAAAAUACUGUUCUUCUUAGCAGCAUCAUAUGACCCCUUUAAUGACAAGGUGGGGUACAGCUAUUGAUUUUGAAUUUUGCAAAUAUGGCUUCAGUAUUUGGCCGUCAUGUGUGCUGUGAGCAAUACUGUAAUCAUUGAUGAUGAAGGAUGGUUUGGGAACACCUCAUGUAUGUGUGAGUGUUGUUCUGAGUAUAGUAUUGCACAAAGCAUUAAAUUAUGUUUAAUAUGUCUUUUAUUAACCUCUACAUUUUUUAAUUACUCUGGACAAACAACAAAACAUUUUGGUAAACUCUUUUUGACUGCUUAAACUUUCUCAAGUACACAUUUUACACUACUUUUUGAGUUUGUUCCACAUUGCGUUUUGAUUUAUUCAUUUAUUGGUGUAUUUUUUAGACCCUCUCAGGCUUUGAAACUUGCUACAAUGCUACUAAGUCUGUCUAGAUAGACUUAGUAGCUAUUGUAGAAAUAUCCAGCUGACCUGAAAGUUUUAUGUUUUACUUACACAGUUUGUUCACACACCACAGUACAUAUAUUACAUUUACAUUUAAUCAUUUAGCAAACACUUUUAUCCAAAGCGACUUACAAAUGAGAACAAUAGAAGCAAUCAGACCAACAAGAGAACAACAACAGUAUACAAGUGCCAUGAAAAGUCUCAGUUAGUCUAGCACAGAACACUGAGCUAUGUGUCCCCCCCAAAGAAUAGAAUAGACAAGAAAAGGUAAGUGCUAGUAUUAGUAGGUCAAGUGCUAGCGAAAAAGAUGAGUCUUUAGAUGUUUUUUGAAAAUGAGUAAAGACUCAGCUGUUCGAAUUGAGAUUGGGAGGUCAAUUCCACCAGCUGGGCACAGUCCAGGAAAAGGUCUUUGAGAGUGAUUUUGAACCUCUUUGGAAUGGCACCACAAGGCGUCGUUCACUAGCAGACUUCUGGAGGGCGCAUAAGUUUGAACUAGUGAGUUUAGGUAUAUUGGUGCCGCGCCAGUGGUUGUCUUGUAGGCAAGCAUCAGUACCUUGAAUUUGAUGCAAGCAGCUACUGGUAGCCAGUGUAACCUGAUGAGGAGAGGAGUAAUGUGAGCUUUUUUUGGCUCAUUGAAGACAACCCUCGCUGCUGCAUUCUGGAUCAGUUGUAGAGGCUUGAUAGUACAUGCAGGAAGGCCCGCCAGGAGAGCAUUACAAUAGUCCAGCCUGGAGAGAACAAGAGCUUGGACAAGAAGUUGUGUGGCUUGCUCUGACAGGAAGGGUCUAUUUCCUAAUGUUGUAUGAGGCAAAUCUGCAGGACCGGGUCGUUGUAGCAAUAUGGUCUGCGAAGCUUAACUGAUGAUCGAUCACAACUUCCGGGUUCCUGGCUGUCCUAGAA
rnacentral:lncRNA from 1 species